rnacentral:rRNA from 1 species
UACGUAGGGUGCGAGCGUUGUCCGGAAUUAUUGGGCGUAAAGAGCUCGUAGGCGGUGUGUCACGUCGUUCGUGAAAAACCUGCAGCUUAACUGUGGGCGUGCGGUCGAUACGGGCAUCACUGGAGUUCGGCAGGGGAGACUGGAAUUCCUGGUGUAGCGGUGAAAUGCGCAGAUAUCAGGAGGAACACCGGUGGCGAAGGCGGGUCUCUGGGCCGAUACUGACGCUGAGGAGCGAAAGCGUGGGGAGCAAACAGG